rnacentral:rRNA from 1 species
GAUGAACGCUAGCGACAGGCUUAACACAUGCAAGUCGAGGGGCAGCAUGAUUUGUAGCAAUACAGAUUGAUGGCGACCGGCGCACGGGUGAGUAACGCGUAUGCAACUUACCUAUCAGGAGGGGGAUAGCCCGGCGAAAGUCGGAUUAAUACCCCAUAAAACAGGGGUCCCGCAUGGGAAUAUUGUUAAAGAUUCAUCGAUGGGGAUGCGUUCCAUUAGGUUGUUGGCGGGGUAACGGCCCACCAAGCCUUCGAUGGAUAGGGGUUCUGAGAGGAAGGUCCCCCACAUUGGAACUGAGACACGGCCCAAACUCCUACGGGAGGCAGCAGUGGGGAAUAUUGCACAAUGGGGGAAACCCUGAUGCAGCGACGCCGCGUGAGUGAAGAAGUAUUUCGGUAUGUAAAGCUCUAUCAGCAGGGAAGAAGAAAUGACGGUACCUGACUAAGAAGCCCCGGCUAACUACGUG